GAAGCGAUGAAGGACGUGGCUACCGGCGAAACGUUUCGGGGAGUUGGAAGUAAGCUUUGAUCCGAAAAUAUCCGAAUGAGGAAACUCUUUAACUUCUUCUUGAAUCUAUAAAGAAAGAAAGAGCAAACCUAGGGAAUUGAAACAUUUUAGUACCUAGAGGAAAAGAAAGUAAAAACGAUUCCCUUAGUAGUGGCGAACGAAAAGGGAACAGCCUAAACUUUUUUUUUUUUAAAGAAAAGGGUUGUGGGAAAGAAAAUUCUGUAAAGAGAAAAUAAUUUAAAGUUUAUCUUUAAAGGAAUAGAAAUUAGGUGAAAAAAUUGGAAAAUUUUACCAAAGAAAGUGAUAGUCUUGUAACCGAAAAUUUCUUAAAAAUUCUUAUAUCCCGAGUAGCAUGGGGCACGUGGAAUCCCGUGUGAAUCUGCGAGGACCACCUCGUAAGGCUAAAUAUUCCUGGAUGUCCGAUAGCGAAGAGUACCGCGAGGGAAAGGUGAAAAGAACCCCGGGAGGGGAGUGAAAUAGAACGUGAAAUUGCAAGCCCACAAACAGAAGAAGAACGACUUAGCGUUUUACUUCGUGCCUGUUGAAGAAUGUUCCGGCGACUUAAAGUUAGUGGCAUGGUUAAGGUAGAGAUAUUGGAGCCAUAGUGAAAGCGAGCUUGAAUAGAGCGUAAAUUGUCACUAGUUUUAGACCCGAACCCGGUUGAUCUAACCAUGGCCAGGAUGAAACUUAGGUAACACUGAAUGGAGGUCCGAACCGACUGAUGUUGAAAAAUCAGCGGAUGAGUUGUGGUUAGGGGUGAAAUGCCAAUCGAAACCGGAGCUAGCUGGUUCUCCCCGAAAUGUAUUUAGGUGCAGCGGUUAAUCUUUUAGCGUAGGGGUAAAGCACUGUUUCGGUGCGGGCUGGUAAUUCGGUACCAAAUCGAGGCAAACUCUGAAUACUACGUGUACAAUUAACCAGUAAGACUAUGGGGGAUAAGCUUCAUAGUCAAGAGGGAAACAGCCCAGAUCACCAGCUAAGGCCCCUAAAUAAUUACUAAGUGAUAAAGGAAGUGGAAGGGCUUUGACAACCAGGAGGUUUGCUUAGAAGCAGCAAUCCUUUAAAAAGUGCGUAAUAGCUUACUGGUCUAGCAAUUCUGCGCCGAAAACUUAUGGGACUAAGUAAUUUGCCGAAGCUGUGAGAUAUUAAAAAUUUAAUAUCGGUAGGGGAGCGUUCUGCGGUAGAUUGAAGUGUUAGCGAAAGCGGGCAUGGACGAAACAGAAGUGAGAAUGUCGGAUUGAGUAGCGAAAACAUUGGUGAGAAUCCAAUGCUCCGAAAACCUAAGGUUUCCUCCGCAAGGCUCGUCCACGGAGGGUGAGUCAGGACCUAAGGUGAGGCUGAGAAGCGUAGCUGAUGGACAAUAGGUUAAUAUUCCUAUACUAAUUUUUACUGGUAUCGAGGGACGAAGAAGGCUAAACUAGCCAGAGAUUGGUUACUGGUUUAAAUUUUCGAGGUGUUGAAGGUUAGUGAAAAUAACUUGAGCUGAGAAAUGAAUACAAGAUUUUAAAAAUCAAAGUAGUUGAUGUCAUACUUCCAAGAAAAGCUCGCUAUGCCUUAAGUAAAAGUUACCUGUACCUUAAACCGACACAGGUAGGUAGGUAGAGAAUACCAAGGAGCGCGGGAGAACCCUCCUUAAGGAACUCGGCAAAAUAACUCUGUAACUUCGGAAGAAAGAGUGCCUUUUAGGCUGCAAUAUCAAGUUCCAAGCAACUGUUUAGCAAAAACACAGGUCUCCGCUAAGUUGUAAAACGACGUAUGGAGGCUGACGCCUGCCCAGUGCUGGAAGGUUAAAGAAGUCGGUUAGCGUAAGCAAAGCUGGUAACUGAAGCCCCAGUGAACGGCGGCCGUAACUAUAACGGUCCUAAGGUAGCGAAAUUCCUUGUCAGGUAAGUUCUGACCCGCACGAAUGGCGUAAUGAUUUGGAAGCUGUCUCGAGGAGGGACUCGGUGAAAUAGAACUGUCUGUGAAGAUGCGGACUACCUGCGCCUGGACAGUAAGACCCUAUGAAGCUUUACUGUAGCCUGAAAUUGGAUUUCGAUUUUCUUUGCGCAGAAUAGGUGGGAGACAUUGAAAAAGUUCUUUCGGGAAUUUUGGAGUCAACAGUGAGAUACCACUCUGAGAAAAUUAAAAUUCUAACUUCAUACCGUUAGCCGGUUGAAAGACAGUUUCAGGUGGGCAGUUUGACUGGGGCGGUCGCCUCCUAAAAGGUAACGGAGGCGUACAAAGGUUUCCUCAGAUCGGUCAGAAAUCGAUCUUCGAGUGCAAAGGCAAAAGGAAGCUUAACUGUGAGACAAACAAGUCGAGCAGAGACGAAAGUCGGUCUUAGUGAUCUGACGAUGCUGUGUGGAAAGGUCGUCACUCAACGGAUAAAAGUUACUCUAGGGAUAACAGGCUGAUCUCCCCCAAGAGUUCUUAUCGACGGGGAGGUUUGGGCCUCGAUGUCGGCUCAUCGCAUCCUGGGGCGGUAGUACGUCCCAAGGGUUGGGCUGUUCGCCCAUUAAAGCGGUACGUGAGCUGGGUUCAGAACGUCGCGAGACAGUUCGGUCCCUAUCCGGCGUGGGCGUUAGAGUAUUGAGAGUGACCUUUCUCUAGUACGAGAGGACCGAGAAAGACAUACCUCUAGUGUACCAGUUAUUGUGCCAACAGUAGACGCUGGGUAGCUAUGUAUGGUUAGGAUAACCGCUGAAAGCAUCU
rnacentral:rRNA from 1 species